CAUGUUUAUCAGUCACAAGUCUGACAGUCCCAAGAUCUUAUUUAGAAAAAGAGUUUUUACAGAGGCAAUCAAGUUAAAAAUGACUCUUCAGAGUGAGUUUUAAUACAAAGUGUCUGUUAAAGAAAUGAGACAUCUGGACAUUGAAAUAUGAUGCUGCACCAGAGCCAAAUGAUAAAUACUGUUGACUAUAACACUUUCCAAGGAUGAAGGCUGUGUGUGACUACACAAGAAAGAACAUACCUGGAAAUGGAGCUUCCACCAAAAUAGAGUUCGGACCCUUAGUGAGGCUACCCAGGGAGAUCGUUUUGAUCAUCUUAACUGACAGGAUUCCUGGUUCAAAAUGCAACCUCAUCCAUGUUUUCUACAAGUAACAGAACGAAUGCUAGUGACUGGAUUUUAGGAAAUAAAAAUAAACAAGGGCUGCAGAUUCA